CUCCGUCCGGUUUCGCAGCACCUUCUCCUGCAAAUCGAGUAUGUUCCUGGUCAUAUCACAUAUCUUGCCCGUCUUUCUUGUCGAAUUUGGUACUCGUGGUUUAUUAUUGGCUUCCGCCACUGUGACAUGCUAGGGUUUCAAAAACAUCUCGUGGUGGUGGAUUCUGCAGGUAUUGUGGGGAUCAGAGGAGUUAUCUCUUUGUUCAAUUUGUGUAUUUAAUUGCGUCUCCUUUGAUUGGUUUGGUGCUUUGCCUGGUGUUCAGAAUGAUUUGCCUCAUUGCUCUCUGACCAUCACCUGGUUCAUCUGUGAUUUGGCAGGGAGAAGAUAAGGGAUGAGAGGCAUGUGUGUGAGCAAGUGGAACAAUAACUGGAUGCUCGUCAGAUUACCCAGGUUUGGUUUUACUCUCAGGGUGCUUUGUUCUUUAAUUUGCAGAACAUGUUUGAACAACGUUUCAGCCUUCACGGAUUAGUGUAGUAGCCUAACCAUUGCAGAAAAGAGGAAGAAAGUUAAACUGAACCUAAAUUCAGAUAUAUUUUGAUGAACGUCUAGUUAUCUGCUUGAAGAACAAAGGGUGCUUAAUACUGGUUUGGUUUAUUCUGUGAGCAGGUGGAACAAUUCAGGAUAAAACUGAACCUAAAUUCAGAUAUAUUUUGAACUAAUCAUAUAUUAGUUCCAAUUAGAUUAUAUGAGCAUAUCAGACUAGAUGGUCUCCUAGACCUUUAGAAGUUGAUAUUCUCUAUUUUUGGCCACAUCAUUUUUGUAAAAAUAGUAGAGUCGCUAACACAUCUGCACAACAUAUGGCUUAUUACAUAUAUAUGCUUGGUCUUCUGUUCUGCACAGCGAAACCAUGGGUUUUUUAUUCUAAGAAAAUGAUGUAUAUUGGUGUUGUAUCCACAAGAUCUAUGUAAGUUAGAAAUUUAGAAGUAAUCCAUGGAAAUACAAGCAUUAUUUUUUUUCGUGGUAUGAUGAAAAAGUUCACCUAGGUCCACUUGCUUUUAUUUGUUGUUCUUGUUCCGAUAAUGUUUGAUUUAUAGUUUCAAUUUCAUCAGCACAAAUAGACUCAAUGGUGUAAUGAUUCAGUUUCACAUAUAUUUUGCCAGUAUGGUAUUUAUGAAUUUUUUUUCCAUGAUCCAUGAUCCAGGAUAUCAGAUUUAUGAGCUUCUGUUACUUGAUGCAAUUUCAAAAAGUGUCGGUAAGGUAAAAAUGAUCUAGAAGCUUAUUGCAUUCGAAAGUAGUUAUUGCAAGAAGAAGCAUGAGACACUAGCAGGUAUAUAAUGUCUAUUCUGCUUUCUAUUUGUUUUUUAGGUUCAGAUUACAAAUUCUUGCAUGAUGUAGAAGUUUCAACCGAAUGGUGCACCCUCAAAAUUGUGUUUUGUUAUGCACGAUGCAAGCUUCAGCAGCACCACACCUAGAUUUUGAAUGGCUCAUAGCAGACUAUAUAUGGCUAACCUAUUGUAUGGCAUUCUUAUUUUUUGUCUAUAUGCAUUACUUCUAGAUUUACUUCUAUUGUUGCGCCAUCACAUGGAUCAAACACACUAAAAUAUGAUGUUGAUCUUGCACAAAAGGAAGAACGGUGGUGUCACAUAAGCAUGGCUCGACCUAGCCUUGAUCAUGGUAGCCUCUUAGGUGUUCCUACUUGCUACUAUCCAUGCUACCUGAAAACCCAGCUUAUUUCACCACCAGCUCCAAAGCAACGACAGAAUGUAGGCAUCACCGUAUAUAAUUUUAUUGCAUAUUGCUCAACUCCUCCUCUAUGAAUUUGCUUACAAGCGUGUGUGACUACACUUGCUAUGCACAUGUACUAUAGACAAGUCGGCAGGACCUCACAUCACAACACCUAAGCGAGUCUGGCAAGGCUUGCUCGCCAUGGCCUACCGCGUCGGCGAGACGGGGCGAGCACGUGAUCACCAUCAACAGGUCCUUUGUCACAACACCCUAGCAAGCGAGAUGUUUAGACAAAGAUAUAUGAUAUAGUACUAUCAACAUAUGUCAUAGACGAACAGUAUAUAUCCUUCUCUUCACAAGCACAAGACUUGAUUUUGAUAAAUUGUGUUACCAUUUCUGCGGCAUCAACAUUUGGGAGGACACACCAUCUGAAUCCUCUAUAAUAACUGAACCAUUACUAUUACAAGCAACCUCCUACAUCUUCCUUCCAAAAAUUCAGAUGAUGGUUUAGUUGUUUAUAUACAUGUGCCAUCUCUUAUGUCUGAAAUAUAUAUUCUACUACCGGGCUGGCUGGCACCUGGCAGGCUGCACUUCCUAUCUACUUGUGACGCCCCAUCAUGUUGGUUUACAUUUGGAGCAAAAAUGCUGCUGAGCAUUUGGUGUGACUGAUUGCACUAUCCAUUUAGUGUUGUCUGGACAUAGCUAUGUAGUGGACACAAUUAUUUAGAAAAAUGUCAAACCUUAACAUUUACAGGAAGCUUUACAUAUGUUUGGAUUAUGGGUCCGCUGUAGGUUUGCAUAGAUAAAUAAAUAGCACUCUUGCUAUCAAAGUGUGUGUUUCAUGGGCCUUUCUUUGUUUGAGGGACAUAACUCAAUUUUUGUAUCAGCCAUACUUCUGCUAUAUAUAUGGAAACAAUCAGUGUCUAUUUCUAUUUUAUCUGAACUGAGACAAAAUUUACUAUAUGUAAACAAUCAUUGGUUCUUUCUUUUUUAUCUAAACUGAGAAAUAACUCUAAUCAAUUGUUUUUUUAUUUAAUGUCUAAGUAUCUUCCUUACCCAAAACUUGUGCCAAAACUGGUAUUUCUUUCAUGUGUGCCUUGUGCCAUAUAUUAUCCAACCCCCUCUACUUCUGUACAGUUUUUUGUGGCGAAAGAUUACUGGCACCAUGUGAAUCUUAAGCUCCACCAUUUCCUAAUUUUUCUCUCAUGGUCGCCCUCUAGGUUUCCUGGCAAGGCGAUGGUGUAUGAACCCUGUGCGCCUGCCUAGCUGUAUUGCGGCUCGAGGAUGCGGCGGAGGUGGCACAUGAGCAGAUGAAAGAGGAAUAAUUGAAGCCCCAAUGCCUCCCACAUUCUUGCUCCCUGAUAAUGGAAGUACUAGGUUUCAAACUCCUUCCCCUUCCCUGAUAUUUACAAUUCCUUUUCGGUUAGCCAUCACCGAUGUUGACUGUUGACUGAAAUAUUUAGUUCUGUUGCUGGACACCUAAUAUCUGCACACUGUGUGUCCGCCAGCUGAGCGGCAAGCCGGAGCUGCAAGUCGCUGAACAUGGUCGUGCUACUGUGAGGAUCUCAUGUCUCUCACUCUGUAUCUCUCAUCAGCCCAUUCCACUUUGUGUAUGGUCAAGGCAGUCAAUUCUUUGUUGUUGAGGCUUAUCUGUUAUUUCAGGGCAACUCACUUGGGCAUGUAGUGGGGAUGGCUUAUGUUCAAGCACCUAAUGGAAUGUAUGCUUUUCCUUGAUGCUCCGUUCCUAAGAAAUUGCAUGAAGCUGGUGUCUGGUGAGCAAUCUGGCCUUGACCAUAGAGCCUUUCUUUUCUUCCGCAGUUCAUGCUUUAUUGUUGGAAAUAUGCCCUAGAGGCAAUAAUAAAUGGUUAUUAUUGUAUUUUCUUGUUCAUGAUAAUUGUCUAUUGUUCAUGCUAUAAUUGUAUUGACUGGAAACCGUAAUGCAUGUGUGAAUACAUAGACCACAACAUGUCC
rnacentral:lncRNA from 1 species